rnacentral:rRNA from 1 species
GGGGAAUAUUGGACAAUGGGGGAAACCCUGAUCCAGCGACGCCGCGUGGGUGAAGAAGGCCUGCGGGUUGUAAAGCCCUUUCGGUAGGGACGAAAGCUCUCGACCUAACACGUCGGGAGGUUGACUUAACCUACAAAAGAAGCACCGGCUAACUCUGUGCCAGCAGCCGCGGUAAUACAGAGGGUGCGAGCGUUAAUCGGAAUUACUGGGCGUAAAGCGCACGUAGGCGGCUUGGUAUGUCGGGUGUGAAAUCCCCGGGCUCAACCUGGGAACUGCAUCCGAAACUGCCUUGCUCGAGUAUGGGAGAGGGAAGUGGAAUUUCCGGUGUAGCGGUGAAAUGCGUAGAUAUCGGAAGGAACAUCAGUGGCGAAGGCGACUUCCUGGACCAAUACUGACGCUCAGGUGCGAAAGCGUGGGGAGCAAAC